rnacentral:rRNA from 1 species
GACGAACGCUGGCGGCAGGCCUAACACAUGCAAGUCGAACGCCGUAGCAAUACAGAGUGGCAGACGGGUGAGUAACGCGUGGGAACCUUCCCAGUGGUGCGGAAUAGCUCAGGGAAACUGGAGGUAAUACCGCAUAAGCCCCUAGGGGGAAAGAUUUAUCGCAAUUGGAUGGGCCCGCGUCGAAUUAGCUAGGUGGUGAGGUAAUGGCUCACCAAGGCACCGUUCCGUAGGUGGGUUGAGAGAAUGACCAGCCACACUGGGACGGAGACACGGCCCAGACUCCUACGGGAGGCAGCAGUGGGGAAUCUUGGACGAUGGGCGCAAGCCUGAUCCAGCCAUGCCGCGUGAGUGACGAAGGCCGUAGGGUUGUAAAGCUCUUUUGCCGGGGACGAUAAUGACGGUACCCGGAGAAUAAGUCCCGGCUAACUUCGUGCCAGCAGCCGCAGUAAAAC